rnacentral:rRNA from 1 species
AUUGAACGCUGGCGGCAGGCCUAACACAUGCAAGUCGAGCGGAUGAAGGGAGCUUUCUCCUGGAUUCAGCGGCGGACGGGUGAGUAAUGCCUAGGAAUCUGCCUGGUAUUGGGGGAUAACGUCCGGAAACGGGCGCUAAUACCGCAUACGUCCUGAUGGAGAAAGUGGGGGAUCUUCGGACCUCACGCUAUCAGAUGAGCCUAGGUCGGAUUAGCUAGUUGGUGGGGUAAAGGCCUACCAAGGCGACGAUCCGUAACUGGUCUGAGAGGAUGAUCAGUCACACUGGAACUGAGACACGGUCCAGACUCCUACGGGAGGCAGCAGUGGGGAAUAUUGGACAAUGGGCGAAAGCCUGAUCCAGCCAUGCCGCGUGUGUGAAGAAGGUCUUCGGAUUGUAAAGCACUUUAAGUUGGGAGGAAGGGAAGUAAGUUAAUACCUUGCUGUUUUGACGUUACCAACAGAAUAAGCACCGGCUAACUUCGUG